UACAUGUGGGGCAAGCGUUGUUCGGAAUUACUGGGCGUAAAGCGUGCGCAGGCGGUCUGUUAAGACCGAUGUGAAAUCCCCGGGCUUAACCUGGGAACUGCAUUGGUGACUGGCAGGCUUUGAGUGUGGCAGAGGGAGGUAGAAUUCCACGUGUAGCAGUGAAAUGCGUAGAGAUGUGGAGGAAUACCGAUGGCGAAGGCAGCCUCCUGGGCCAACACUGACGCUCAUGCACGAAAGCGUGGGGAGCAAAACGG
rnacentral:rRNA from 1 species